rnacentral:rRNA from 1 species
UAAUUGAAGAGUUUGAUCAUGGCUCAGAUUGAACGCUGGCGGCAGGCCUAACACAUGCAAGUCGAGCGGUAACAGGGGAAGCUUGCUUCUCGCUGACGAGCGGCGGACGGGUGAGUAAUGUAUGGGGAUCUGCCCGAUAGAGGGGGAUAACUACUGGAAACGGUAGCUAAUACCGCAUAAUCUCUCAGGAGCAAAGCAGGGGAACUUCGGUCCUUGCGCUAUCGGAUGAACCCAUAUGGGAUUAGCUAGUAGGUGAGGUAAUGGCUCA